CGCAGUCCUCUGGCGCGGGGGUGACGGUCGGUGGCGGCCGCCCGAGGGUCUGUGUCGCCGUACCCGCAAGGGCACCUUGGCCGGGCCGGGGUGCGCCCGGAGUGCCCGCGUGGGCGGCCCGGGUGCGCUCUGGGAGCGGUGGAUCAGAAGAAUCCUCUGCAGAUUCCUAGACCCCCGCAAGCUUAGAGCUUCAGGAGAUCUGGAGGGGAGCCUCUGAAAGCUGGUCAGUGACAGCGCGUGGAGAAACACUACUGAGGGCUCCUGUCCCCAGUUCCUGGUGUCACCGCCAGGCCAGCUUCUGAACAUUCUGCUUGCCACAGUUGGGCCACACUUGGAUCUUUGAGGCUUCUGUUAAGGUCCCAUUGCGUGGAAGGUUUUCUUCUGGAAAUGGGGAUAACGAGGACCGUGUUGUCCAUCUGGGACAGCUGUUGUGAUGACAAGAGACAAUUUCCGAGGAGGACUUGGGGGCAAAGACAUGUUUAAGAAUUCUUCCUUGGCCGUCGGCUCCGGACCCACCAUCACCCCAAAGCCCCAUCAAUA